rnacentral:misc_RNA from 1 species
CGUCGUCUGCAAACGCGAGGAAUAUUUAGUUGUGUAAGGAUGGCUGAGAAAUAUCUCCCUCACUACGCAGAAGGUGAAGUGGUCAAAGGAUUUGGUCGUGGCAGCAAGGAGCUCGGUAUUCCAACAGCCAACUUCCCCGAGAAUGUUGUGGAGAAGCUUCCGGCAGAUAUGCCCACUGGCGUCUACUACGGCUGGGCCAACGUUGACGGUGGAGAAGUACACAAGAUGUGUAUGAGUGUGGGCUGGAACCCAUACUACAAGAACACCAAGAAGACAAUGGAAACUCACAUAAUGCACAAGUUCCAGGAUGAUUUUUAUGGAUCAAGGCUGAAGAUUGUAAUGGUUGGCUACAUCCGCCCCAUGUCAACAUUUGUUUCUCUAGAUGAAUUGAUAACGGCAAUAAAAAACGAUAUAUCAGAAACGGACAGAAAGCUACAAGAGCCCGAGACGCAGCACUAUAAAGACAACAACUUCUUCGCGUCGUCUUGAUGAUGGCUUCCUGUAGACAUCUCACACAGUAGUCUCAUUAAAUCAGAACAGCCUCUAUGUAUCACUGCAUGAACAUUAUCAAACCAUCCACUGUAGGCCAUUUCCUGUCUAUUACAGUUUGUUUCUUGGUCAUUAUGAUUUGGAAACUUGGCUUUAAGAAACAAACCCCUGAUAUGAUUUUAACUGCAUAAUCCUUUUGUUAGAGAUGGUUGGUACUACUCGGAAAUAAUAAGUGAUGUACUCAGUAUCCACCACAAUGUUAGUGGUAGUGCCUUUUUUUUUCAUUUGGAACUGUCCUUUUAUAUUUGUUUUUGAGAUAUGAAAAUCAGACAUGGUGGUCUGACAGCUUUGUUUGCUUGUUACAAGAUUCAAAAAACUUUGGCUGAUUAGAAUGAUAUGCUCUGGUGGGACAGUUUUUCAAAUUUUCAUGUGGAGGUACAUUUCAUCCGAGUGAAAGAGUUACCCAGAGCAUUGCAUUUUGGCAACCUGGAUAUUAUGUUUUACUAUGUUGUUAGUGAAGAAAUGCUAAAGACUUAUGGAUUUCAAAAGGUAAAGUCAGUAUUUCAUGUGAGUGCUAUCCCCUGUAUGCCAAGUCAACCUUCAGUGGGCAUCAAUAAGGCUGAUAUUAGUAGCAAGCGAUAUUCGGAACAUUUGGCUUUUUGUGCCUAAUAACAAUUUUAUCUCAUUUUGUCAUAACUGGUAACAUUUCUUUCCAAAAUGUUUGAUUUCAGAUUUUGUCUGAAAAACUGUACAAUUGUAACUGAUUAGCCACGACUGUACAGGUGUAACUGAUUUAUCCGCGACUGUACAGGUGUAACUGAUUUAUCAGCGACUGUACAGGUGUAACUCAUUUGUCCCCAACUGUUCAGGUAUCCGGUAGCUGAUUAGCCGAAAACUGCACAGGUGUAACUGAUUUGUCAACAACUGUACAGGUGUACCAGGUAACUGAUGAGCCAAAAACUGUACAAGUGUAACUGAUUAGUCACGACUGUACAGUUGUAACUGAUUAAAUACGACUGUACAGGUGUAACUGAUUUGUCCACAACUGUACAGUUGUACCUGGUAACAGAUUAGCCACAACCGUACAGGUGUAACUGAUUUAGCAAUGCAUGUUGUGCUCAGUCUUCCACUUGUCAACAUUGUGCCCAAGAAUGUGUGUGAUCUUAUACAGCAGAAUCUCUAUGAAUUUGAACUGACAAAAAUUGUUUGGUUUUGUGCUUUUGGAUGAUCGGGUUUGAUUUCAAGCAUGCAAAAGUGCAACCUAUUAUUGAAAAAAGCUGCCAGAUAUUUAUGUCAGCUUGAAUUUAAGUGCAUUUAAUAUAAUUCAAGAUGCCAAGCAUCUCUUUAGUAUAUGAAAAUACUGAUCUCAAAGGUAAUACAGGUAUGCAGGCUGAAAAAGUUCAAUUGAAUGAAGGUCUGUUCAUUAUUACAGGUAUGUAUGCAGACUAGGAUCAGAUGUAUCAUUACGUUGUUUGAUAUGUUGUCAUUAUGUUGGGUAAGUAAGCCCAUUACAUGAACUCAAAUGACAGUAAGUCAACUGACCAAGGUGUUAAACCUAUUACAGAUAGAAAUUUCAAUGAAAUGAAGUAAAAAAAGUUUCAGUGAAUUUUCACUCGAGUGGAAAUGUCAAUCUUAAUAACAUUCACCUUAUAAUUUAAUUGAUUCAAUUCAGAUAACCAUUAUUUUCAUUCCCAACAGGACAUACGUGUAAACAUUUGCAACCAUUAUCAAGUUGUUAGCAUUUUGGACACAACAUGUUGCAAUUCAUUACAGACUGUUGAUAUUAUUUUGCUGUGCAAACUUACUGUGUUCAUUAAUACUUGGUUGAUGGGUACUUUUGUUGAGAGCUGCAUAGUUGGGCUCUUGUUUCUCAGUACCUGGUUCUUGUAGGACCUGAGUGUGUGUUAUAUAACGUAUAUCCUGGCAAUACGGGGAAUAUGGACAUAAUAGUCAGUGUUUUUGUCAAUCCCUUUCUCCCUGUUGCACAAUGUUGCAUAACACCAGUGUUAUAAAUUUGGAUCCUGGGUC